rnacentral:rRNA from 1 species
AUUGAACGCUGGCGGCAGGCCUAACACAUGCAAGUCGGGCGAGUGGCGGACGGGUGUGUAAUGUCUGGGGAUCUGCCUGAUGGCGGGGGAUAACUACUGGAAACGGUAGCUAAUACCGCAUACCAUCAUAGGUACCCAUAUGGGAUUAGCUAGUUGGUGAGUUAACGGCUUACCUAGGCGACGAUCCCUAGCUGGUCUGAGAGGUGGAUCAGCAACAAGGGGACGGAGACAAGGCCCAGAAUCGUACGGGAGGCAGCAGUGGGGAAUAUUGCACAAUGGGCGCAAGCCUGAUGCAGCCAUGCCGCGUGUAUGAAGAAGGCCUUCGGGUUGUAAAGUACUUUCAGUCGUGAGGCGUUACCGACAGAAGAAGCACAGGCUAACUCCGUGCCAGCAGCCGCGGUAAUAC